CCUACGGGAGGCAGCAGUGGGGAAUCUUCCGCAAUGGGCGCAAGCCUGACGGAGCAACGCCGCGUGAGUGAAGAAGGUCUUCGGAUCGUAAAGCUCUGUUGACGGGGACGAACGUGCGGAGUGCGAAUAGCGCUUUGUAAUGACGGUACCUGUCGAGGAAGCCACGGCUAACUACGUGCCAGCAGCCGCGGUAAUACGUAGGUCCCGAGCGUUGUCCGGAUUUAUUGGGCGUAAAGCGAGCGCAGGCGGUUUGAUAAGUCUGAAGUUAAAGGCUGUGGCUCAACCAUAGUUCGCUUUGGAAACUGUCAAACCUGAGUGCAGAAGGGGAGAGUGGAAUUCCAUGUGUAGCGGUGAAAUGCGUAGAUAUAUGGAGGAACACCGGUGGCGAAAGCGGCUCUCUGGUCUGUCACUGACGCUGAGGCUCGAAAGCGUGGGUAGCGAACAGGAUUAGAUACCCUGGUAGUCCACGCCGUAAACGAUGAGUGCUAGGUGUUAGGCCCUUUCCGGGGCUUAGUGCCGGAGCUAACGCAUUAAGCACUCCGCCUGGGGAGUACGACCGCAAGGUUGAAACUCAAAGGAAUUGACGG
rnacentral:rRNA from 1 species